GAUGAAGAACGUAGCGAAAUGCGAUAAGUAAUGUGAAUCGCAGAAUUCAGUGAAUCAUCGAAUCUUUGAACGCACAUUGCGCCCGGCAGUACUCUGCCGGGCAUGCCUGUUCGAGCGUCAUUUCAACCCUCAAGCCCUGCUUGGUGUUGGGGUCCCACGGCCGCCGUGGGCCCUGAAAGGAAGUGGCGGGCUCGCUACAACUCCGAGCGUAGUAAUUCAUUAUCUCGCUUAGGGCGUUGGGCGGCGCUCCUGCCGUUAAAGAACCAUCUUUAACUCAAGGUUGACCUCGGAUCAGGUAGGAAUACCCGCUGAACUUAAGCAUAUCAAUAAGCGGAGGA
rnacentral:misc_RNA from 1 species